GGAUUUUCUCUCUCCUCUUUUCUUGUGUUUUCCGGCCAGCCCACUCCCAAUUGAGCCUCCUAUCCCCCUAUUUUGGGUCCUCUGAAUCCAAAAAUGGCCUCCAAUCCCAGAAAUUCGAAGCGGUUUGCGAGAUAUGGGGAAGUGAACACCGGCCGAAACUUUCCGACCAAAUUCUGGCCACCUCCGGCGGAAUUGGGGUCGACGGAGACCGGAUUGGUGAUCCUCGUCCCACGAGCUUCGAUUCGGAGCACCGGUGAGUCGUGAAAUUGAUCCCGUGAUGGAUCGUAGGUUAAUUGCGUGCUCCAGGUCCAGGUUGGAGACGUUGAUUGUCCGGGGCGAGCCCGACGUCUCAGUUCGUUGCCGAAGGUUCAAGAAGUUUUUCUUCCCUUUUUCCUCUCUAUCUUGUAUUGUUUCCGUAUCUGUCAUUUUAUAAAUUCCGCAUGUUUCUGUAUAACGCUCUGUAUACUGUAUUGGACGUGUUGUUUUUAUUUAUGCACUGGGUUGCUGCUGUUGUUUUAUUUUUGAA